rnacentral:rRNA from 1 species
UACGGAGGAUCCGAGCGUUAUCCGGAUUUAUUGGGUUUAAAGGGUGCUCAGGCGGGCCAUUAAGUCGGCGGUGAAAUUUUGCGGCUCAACCGUAAAAGUGCCUUCGAUACUGGUGGUCUUGAGUGUGGAUGAGGUAGGCGGAAUUUGUGGUGUAGCGGUGAAAUGCAUAGAUAUCACGAGGAACUCCGAUUGCUAAGGCAGCUUACUAAGCCAUAACUGACGCUCAAGCACGAAGGCGUGGGGAUCAAACAGGAUUAGAUACCCGUGUAGU